CUAAAUAAACGAAGCUGGAGAAACACAAGCCAAAGUGAAGUAUUGCUUGUUCUUAAUCCUGCCUCAUUUGGGGCACUUCUUUGUGAGAAUCCCAAAGUAGCUGAAGAUCCCUUCAAAGAAAAGCUAGUUAUAGAAGACUUAUCCUUGGCGCUCAUGUGAUCAGACAGGUUUCAAUAAAGUUGGCAUGCAGUACCUGUUCAUCACACCCUGAUACAUGAGCUUCUAAAAGCGAUGCAGGUACCCAGAGCCACUUCCCUGGGAGCAAGGACAGCUGUUGUUCCCCCCAAGCAGCUGCAGUGUGAAGUGGUGGGAUACUGUCAGCCUCUGCAUCUCCACUGCUUCCUGCAGCUUCUCAUGCUCUUAUGGUUUAGGAGAACUUUUAUGUCAAAGCUUGAAUUGUGGCAAGUCAUGUUGAUACUUCCUGUUUUCUUUGAAUACCAGCUGUUCUGGGAUUGAGAAACCUCCUGUUCCACCUCAACAUACAACAUAAUCCAGAUGAUCUGUCACAUGGCACCUUCACUGGUUUGGUUCAGACUUAAAAAGUCUCUGGAAAAACAUGAGAUUUUUCCUAUUUUUUCAUGACUUAGAAGUAUUGCCACUGCAUAAAAUAUGGAGCAUUCACAUUUAAACCAGGAAGAAUACUUAGCUUUCAUUGGGUUGAAAGCUAUUGUGGACCCCACAGUAGCCCCCAAAAAGGGAGAGAACACCAAAACAGAGCAGGAGAACCACUGUCAUCAGCAGGAAGAAGUUGAAGACAACUGAUCAGGAUGCCUGGAGGAACUGAUGAGGGUAAAAGCAUUGGUGCCUAGGAGAGAAGAAAGCCUCCAUCACAGAGGGCAAGAGUACAAAGCCCAUGGGAAGGUACUAUAAGGACUGAAGGAAGCCGCUGGCAGGAGCAGGAGCAGAUCAGGAGCAGCCUGAGUGUCAGAGCAGCAGGUCGGGACAAGGACAAGGCAGUUCGUAUGGCUGUGCCUCACCUACCAGCCUCAGAAAGUGAAGUGGUUGCUUACUCACCACUCAAAUUAUCCAUUACUCCAUGUUUUUUCAGCCUGAAUGUGGGAAUUGAGCCUUGCUAUUUUAAAUUAGAGACAGUUAUAUGAGCACCACAGACAUAAAGUAAGAAUUUCAGUGGCAAUACUUCGGCAUCCUGAGGUGAUUCUUUGACUUGUACUUCAAUAUCACUCCAAGUGCUUGGUAAUAAGGCAGGACUUAAUUUCUGCAUGAGUCAAAUGCCAUACUGGUGUAAAUAGACACAGUCACACUCACUGCAGUAUGAUUUAGUGUAUUUGUAUCAGUGGAGGAAUUUCCUUCCAUUUAGUGAGACUUUAAGGAAAAGAAUAUACCAGAAGAAAAUACAAAUAUUUCUUUUCUUAUCCACCAGUUUCUAAACUUAAACUUACUUCCUCCUAUGCUGUAGUAUUUUAAAACCAGAACAAAGAGCCGAUGAGAGUAAGCACAGCUAUGUGCUAAUUUAUAACUGCUCAGAGUAAAAGGCAGCUCCAGCUGACAGUAGCUUCAAAAAAAUUGUGCCUCCUGUAAAUUAGGGUAAGGGAACUGAUCACUGAAGGUAAACAGGUGAUGAAAUACUUCAUUAGUACCUCAUUUGUAAUUUAUGUCUGCUGAAGUAGUUGACAAAGAAUCAAAACGUAAGUGGUAGAUUUCUCAGAAGUGUAGCCUUUGAGGUCACUGAAGUGGAUUAAUUAUAACCCAGUGUAAAGCACAGCCUGUCUCUGUGUCAAUUACCAGUAUUUGAUAACUGAAAUUAUGUCAAGCUCUGUUCUUCUUCAAGAUGCAGCCACACAUUUUAAAAUCAUUAUGACUGUAAGCAUGAGCUUCACAUAGCUAAUGAGUUCAGCUCAUUUAUUAAAGUUCAUUUUGACUUAGAUAGCACUUGAGAUUCAGAGGGGAGUGGGUGGCAAGGGAUCCAGUACUGCAAAAAUAAAUGCCUUUCCUUUUCCCCUCUCCCAGUCUUGUGCGGGAGAAACAAAGUAAGUUCACUUUCCAAAGAAUCGUUUAAAUCUACUGUAGGAGAAAGACUUGAGGCAGUCAACUGCUAUUAAAUAUGACCUGCUUCUAAUGGCUAUCAGAGUUCUAAUUAUUCAGCGAAAAUACUGGGCUUAAUGGAUACCUCCUGUUCAUAUUCAUAAUAGCAAAAGGACUGAUAACAUAUCUCUGCCACAUUUUGGGAUUUUCUUUCCCUUCUUCCUCCCUUUUUCACACUCUUCCCUGGAACUGCACAAGCAUUGGGUAGGGUUAAAUAGCAUCUGUUCAUAUGUUAUCAAAACCUACCACACACUCUUUGGUGAGUAACUCUAUCUUCCAUGCCUGUGCAAUCUGCUGCCAGCACAGCAGGCAAGUAGUGCACACUCGCUGCAUCCUGACCCACAGCAGCACUGCCUGCACACAGUAAGCAAACUUUGAAAGCAAUGGCUUUGAGGUUGUCUUUUCUCAUGCGAAAGCAAAUAAUAAACUGGUCACCACAACACCAGCUUUGCUGCAUGUUUCAUGUGCACUUUAUUCUCAGCAUACCUGCUGCACCAGGGCCCGUGAAAUACCUGGUGAUGCUGAUUCCCACUUCUGGGAGAAAUGUGGUCAUGUCUGGGCUGUAUGACCAAACAGAAUGGCUCCAGCUUCAGCUGAGGUCAGACUUUGACCAGAGGCUAAGGAACAGUGUUUGGUCUAGUGAGAUAUUCUUUCACUAUUCCCUGCUUUCACCUGAAGCAUUUCAGUUGUAAAUGUCUCCCGCUGAAGUAACUAGUAAUGUAUGAUCCUGUUGCAUAGGUAAUUCCUAAUUCUUUUUGCUCUAGAUAAAUGAUAUAUAUUCUGGGGUCAGACAGUGUUUUGAGUGGAAUCUCACAUUCAUCAUGGCUGUGACUUUAUACGGAGACAUAUUCCAGUAUUCAUCAGCAAUCUUUUAAAGAAAGCAACAAGUUAGCUCUUUGAGGUGGACAUAGUAUAAUCAGAAGAUUUUCUUCUAAAGAAUAAAUUUCUUUUUAAGACUAACAACAUGUGGUACUAAUGUUUAAAGUAUGAAUUUUAGUUUGUCAGUGCAACUCAUCAUUACUUAUUAUACAUUGUGAAAUCAUUUUAAGAUUCUUUGUGCAUCUUUAAGCCAAAAAAAUAUCUGACAACCACCCGAGACCUCUACUAUGGUAUCCAGAGUAAGUAUACAGCUGUGACUUAAACCAUAGAUAUUUAACCUGAACCUAGUGAAAAUAAUUGAGGAAAAGAUUUAUUUGUGUCUCUGAUCUAAUAAUACUCUAUUCUCCAGCGGAAUCAAUCAUGCCAAUUUGCAUCGGAUUGCAGUUCAUAUCUUUAGUAACAGGAUAAUAUGGUUGUUAGUUUUAGAAGUACCUAAAUGGAUUAGGUAUGUGGAGAGAGACUGAGUGAAAUAUUCACCACAGGGUGGCUUUCUGGCCCUGCAGAAAUCAGCAGAAGUUACAGCAUCUACGACAAUACAUAUGGGAUUUCAAAUCUCUUAUUUUAGCCUCCACUGUCUCAGGGAAAAUAUUUUACUGGAUAAACAGCCAAAAUAUUGAAACAAUCCCUUCCUAAAUAUUUUGCAGCAAUAAGACACUGAUUUCUCCAUGGCAUAAAUCAAACUGUUACACUUUAAAACAUUCAUUUCAAUAUAAGUAAAUAAAAAUAUGCUACAGAUUGGAAAUGAGGGAAGAUAACUUGUAUGAAAGGUAUUACAAGCUAAGUCUAGACUUACCUGCUGGGAGAAAUGAUGGCUUCUGUCCAGUCCACACCUCCAGUUUUCUUUUCUGUGAAAAUCAAAUUGCGAGAAGGUAGGAGGGAAGAAGGAGGGACAGCUGGUGCAUGCCUGUGUUUUGUCCCAGUAGGGAGCUGGGAUGUGAGAAUAUGCAACUGGAAAAUGGAAAAUUCUCCCCCCAUCCCUCAUCAAGAUACAACUAAGUGCCCGCAGUGACCAAGGAAAUGGCUUUUUUUUUUUUCCUUAGGAAUUCAAAAGUGUUUCCAUUUUUUCCACUCAUUUGGUUAAAUGCAUCUUUAUAGACUCAGACUUUUUCAAAAAGCUGGGCAAUAGAUGGGUUUAUUUCCUUGUGUGCCACUUUAAUGGUACUGUAUUUGAGAUGGGCUUAGUAACUCUGAUGACUCAAAGUCAGGCUUUUACAAAGGUACAGGAACAGAUUUGCAAACUCCUUGUGUUUCUGUAAGAGCUCCUACAUGCCACCAGACUAAUGGACAUAUUGCAAAACCAACUCCCACUGCCUCCCAGUUCCAAUUCUGCCACCUGAUCUUCGAGUUUCAAUAAAAUAUCAGUGCCAGAAGUUCCGAGGACUUGCAAAAAAGGUUUCAUGCUGAAACCUCAACUAGGCAUCAGUCAAGAAACACAGACAGAACAAACUGAUUUUUCUAGGCUGCUGCUCAUGCUUUCUGUCCCUUUUAGCAGACAUUUAUCCAUGGCUGGUAGGAAUUUGUGUACGUCUAGAAAAGGUGUGCGGCUGCACCCGCCUGGGGAGGGGUGUGACAGCUGGCCCCGUGAGAUGGGUCAGGCAGAAGCAGAUGGCCCUGAGCGACAUGGCUGGCGUGGAGACAGAUGGCAACACGGGACAGCUCGGGAAGGGGGACAUAUGGCAACAUGGGAUUGGCAGGAGCACAAGUCCUUACACUGGGCCCAAUUACGGGCCUGGUGGGUCUGGAUUUGCCUGGGAGAAGGUAAAAGGGCUUUUAUGUUUCUCCAUCCCUCCUCAGACCUGGGCAGGGAUGCCAUGGACCACAGGAUGUGACCAUGGCUGUGUGCUGUACAGUCUGGACAGGGAUGUCAGCCACUGCAGACUGCUGAGCCUUUCUAAAUAUUUUUUCUGUUGUAGUUUCAGCAUCUAACAAGUUUUCAACAUUCUUACGCACACUUAUAUGUUUUGAUUUACAUCAGCACAUGGUUCAUCAGAUAAAAGGCAACAUGUGCACCACUGAGAUUUAAUGGGCUGAUUUGGCAUGCUGUUGUGUCCUUUGAGACGUGUAAGACAAAUGAAUUUGCCUGUUCAUCAUCUUAGAGAGCUGCCAUAUAAUAAGUAUCAAAAAUACUUAAAACACAGAAAAAAACAGAAAAACAUGUAACACUGUAACAUAUCCAUUUUAUAUUCGCCCUCCCAUUUUCCCUAGUCUUGGGGUGAUAAAGACACUAACUGAGAAAUUUGCUUCAGUUCUGAAGGAGCUUUUUAGGCAUAAAUACUUUUUCACCGCUAACCACUAACUACCACAUUGCACAUCUAGGGCAUAAUUAAGAAGAAUAAUAAAUUAGGAGUUGGAUGUCUUCCCAUAUUAUUUUGAAUAUAGGAGGCAAAAUUAGAAAGCCUUACACGCUGAACAUUAUGGAAUAUAUGAACCUAAUAUUUGUCAGUAUGCCUCCUGUAUUUCUUUGCAUUUAAUAUAAGUUGUCCACCCAGAAAUGACACCUUUUGUGCAUAUUUUAAAUAUAUGCAGGGGAAGUAAUUUGGUUUGGUCACAUUAAGCUGCUGCAGGACUCAAUAAAUAGCACAUACAGCACAUCCUGCUUCCCUGGUGAGAGCAGGAUGAGAUUUUUUAUGGACAACAUUAAGUAUAUUGAGUAAAUUGCAUUCACCAUAUUACACUGUACUGUAUAUAACUAUUGCUAUUCCUUUUUCACUUUUUCAGCACACUUCAUCAUUGCUUUCAUCACCUCUUUUAUUGAAUACAGUGUUAACAGAGCAACAUCCAUUACAGAGGUAUAGGAAUUAAUUAACCUGAAGCAGUUCUGAUCUCUGGAUAGUGAAUAUAACAGAUUUGGUGUUCCAUGUCACUGAGGCCAAUUUCCUGCCCAUGGAAAAGAGAGCAUGCAAUCACAGAAUACUAUAGAUUGAAGCUCUUGUUAAUAGGAUUAAUUUUCUUUUUCUGGGAGGAGGGGAAGGAAGGGGUGAAAAAGUUAAAAAUUAUUCUCUAGGUUUUGGAAGGGAUUUCAUUUAUUCUAAAAGAGACUGCUCUAAAUUGUGAAAUACCUGUACAGAUGUGGAUCUGGACUGCUCCAAAACCACAGACAUGUUCAGAAAUGGGUUUUUGUGGUCCUAUCUUAUUUAGAUACAGAAUCAAUGUCAAGAUGGAGAUUUGUACUUUGAAAUCCUUCUGAGCCAGAUUGACUGAUACCUGCUACUUCCUUUUACUUUUUGCAAAAGGGGACUUUCACAGUUCCUAUAAGGGAAUUAUUUUAGCCAUUCAAGAAAUACAAAAGUUUUUAUAAUGCUUUUUUUUUUUUUGCUGAGUAUAUUUACGUAUUUAAGUCUUUCAUCCUUGAAAGACUAGAAGUCUUGCUGCAUGUGCUUUUCAUACCUGUAUGACAAAUAUGGCUGGGUUUGCUGGUAAUAAAAAUGCGCAGAGGACUUUCUGUAUCUAUUGAUCAAUAGCAUGUUUUUAUCUGAUACUGAAUAUUAUCUCUGAGAUUGCAUAUAUCUUUAUGAGUACUUGUCAGGCUAGUAUACAAACACCAAAAGGUCAAAGUCACAACUGAUGUAUGUUGGGAUAGUGGCACUCAAAUAGAUGGAGCUAUGACAAUUGAUAACCACUGAUGACUAGACUGAAUAUUCAAGUUUGACAAUUAUUUUGUCUAAUACAAUUUCUUUAAAAAAUCAGAUUUAUUUAAAAGGGUCCAUUCUUAUUGCCUACGUUUCCCAUAGGUUUUAAUUAAGGUCUCUUCAGACUCAGAAUAUGGUGUUUCUUUUCCUUUUAUGCAUGAAUGCUUUCCUAUAUUUUGUUAAGGUUGUCCUUGUAUUUCAUAGCUGUGAAAUGUCACUUAGUUUCACUGUCUUACUUGUUACAAAUAUAUGUAUUCUGCUCCAUAUGAAUGACCUUUGGAUGAUACCAAGAUACUACAGAGCUUAUAAGCUUGCAAUCCCUCCACAGAAACAUCCUUAAUAAUUUUCCUGUGGAAAGAGAUCUUCCCCACCUGCAAUUUUGACAUGAUGUUUUUUGCCUCAGGAGAAUGGGAAAGAAAAUCCACAAUUUAUUUUAGUAGUUUGAGGCAACAUUCUGUCCACUGCAUUCAAAAGGCCCAAGAUCCACAAAAUAUAAGAAUGAAAAUAAGUGUUUUCAUAAGCAAAGCACCAUGGUUAGUCACAAUGCUUCCAAUUUGCGACAUCCCAGAAAGAUGAAUGACCUUGCUUAUAUUUGUUAUUUUAGUUUUUCUAAGGGAUGUAUGAUCAAUGAGAUUUUCCAAAUGUAUUCAUGAAUAAUAAUGUAAUUUUAAUGAUAUUGCAUCUUUGCAUACAGCAGAUGAUUAUAAAGAAUGCCAAUGGGGACUGAUAACUAGGUACUGUAAUUGAAAUCAUGUCUAUAAGAAAUACUAUAGCAUGGCUUUGCGCAUUUCAGGACUACCCAGAAACCAAUAUCUCUCCUGAAAAUGGUAGACUGCCUACAGCUAUCAUUCCAGCUAUUUCUGAGUAAUGGUAAUAGCUCUGGAAUGACAUCUGACUUGAAGCAGUCAGGUAUUAAAAUACCAGACAAGCACGGCUGCCUGUACCUGACUGCACUACAGGAGCAGUGAUCUGUGGCAAAGUGCCAUAGUAUUAUGUCCCUUUAAGAGGUACCCUCUGUGAAAGGCAAAAGUUCAAGAAGUUCAAGUAGGCUCAGUACUGGUAAGAUCUGUUCUCUUAUAUCCAGCUUUUGUAAAGGGAGUUCUGUAGGUUUUUUAACUCUUCUUUUAGCAGUUGCACAAAUAACGGUAGAAUACUAGAAAAAGCAAUGUAAAUAAAAAAAAAACAAAUUCUAUUUCGAAAACCUGAAAAGUAAAUAUGAACUUUCCUAAACCCUAAUGUAAUGUAUUUUUUACAUUAGAAGAAAUAUAUAAUGUAUAUUAAGCUGAAGGGUAAUGGUGAAAAUCCCACCAAUGUUGUUUCAGUCAGUUUGUUCUGGUUUCUCUGGCUGUCCUGUAUAACUGCUAAGCUUCUUUCUGGUCCUUUUUUUUGUUGUUUUUUUUUUCCUUCUCUCUCUCUUUUUUUUUUCCCCGAAAUAAUAGCAAUAACUUAGAUGAAAUUAAAGGUUCAUAUUCUUGGGCAUCAUCCACGAGCCUCAGGAAUAGCUGAUGAAAUAUCCUUGCAUUUUAAACCAAUUGUAGUUAUCCAGUCAACACCAUAAUUGCACUCAGAAUCCCUUAGGCCCAAUUUGAGUGUAAGGAAAAGCUACUGUGCUAUUGUUAAACUUCUUGGGUUUAAUUUUUUACCAGCCAAUAAUUACAAAACACAGGAAAUGACAUGGUAAAUGAUGGAACUAUUUUGAAGUGCAAAUUUAUGAAGCAGCUGCAGCAAAUAAAGUGGUAAUUUAAUUAGGUUUAUGUCCUAAAGCUGAGGUGUAGUGAAGAACAUUUCUGAGAUACAAGCUAAUUCAAAUCUGCAAUAGUAAUCCCACAUUUAGUAAUUUCACUGCUAUAGCUCAGUUAAUUACAGCAUAUUAGCAAAAUAAUGAGAUAAUUAAUCUUCAAAUGCAGUUCUUGUCUACAUGCAUAUUACAGAAGAAUUUGACUUAUCCUUUCUUUGUAUGUUUUUCCAAGAACAAGUUAUGACUAAUUUAACCUAGAGAAACCCUUCUUCACCAAAAUGCCUAGAUUCUUUUAUUUUCCAAACCUAUCAGGUUUCGGACAACUCGUUUGAACAAGAAAAUACUUUCCUAAUACAAUCUGUGAGAAGAAUCUUAAAAAUUAUUCAAUUCAUUUUAUUUGUCAAUUAAAAACUAUUGCAUCGAUUGCUUUUGCUUUUAUAAGCAGAA